rnacentral:rRNA from 1 species
UACGAAGGGGGCGAGCGUUGUUCGGAUUUACUGGGCGUAAAGGGCGCGCAGGCGGCCAUUCAAGUCAGGCGUGAAAGCCCCCGGGCUUAACCUGGGAACUGCAUUUGAUACUCUGGAGCUUUGAGUACGGGAGAGGAUAGUGGAAUUCCCAGUGUAGAGGUGAAAUUCGUAGAUAUUGGGAAGAACACCGGUGGCGAAGGCGGCUAUCUGGACCGUAACUGACGCUGAGGCGCGAAAAGCGUGGGGGAGCAAACAGG